rnacentral:rRNA from 1 species
UUGAACGCUGGCGGCAUGCUUUACACAUGCAAGUCGAACGGUAACAGGCCGCAAGGUGCUGACGAGUGGCGAACAGGUGAGUAAUGCAUCGGAACGUGCCCAGUCGUGGGGGAUAACGCAGCGAAAGCUGUGCUAAUACCGCAUACGAUCUAUGGAUGAAAGCAAAAGACCGUAAGGCCUCGCGCGAUUGGAGCGGCCGAUGUCAGAUUAGGUAGUUAGUGAAGUAAAGGCCCACCAAGCCAACGAUCUGUAGCUGAUCUGAGAGGACAACCAGCCACACUAGAACUGAGACACGGUCCAGACUCCUACGGGAGGCAGCAGUGGGGAAUUUUGGACAAUGGGCGCAAGCCUGAUCCAGCAAUGCCGCGUACAGGAAGAAGACCUUCAGGUUGUAAACUGCUUUUGUACAGAACGAAACGAUCUGGGUUAAUACCUCAAGCUAAUGACGAUACCGUAAGAAUAAGCACCAACUAACUACGU